rnacentral:lncRNA from 1 species
UAUAUAUAAACAAAUAAACGAAUCUCGCUUCGAGUCACUUAUGUAAAAGUGGCGGAGGAAAAAAGGAGGCGAAAAAAGAUGGUUUUUAAAGAGAGAAGAGCAGCUCGGAACAGGAUUAUAGCCUUCACUUCAUCAUAUUAGCAUCAUCAUCAUCAUCAUCGUCGUCAUCGUCAAAUAAAACCUGCCAUGUUAUGAUGAUAUUUUGAAACACCUCACAUCCUGCCCAAACAAUAUGAUGCUUGACCAAACGUUAGACUCUUUGAGAGUGGAAGUUUUCCUAAAAGACACCUCUAAGAUGGCAACUUUCGUGUUGGACACUGGUUAGUUUAGCAACAGCGAAACUGGAGUGAAAUUAUGUGAAACAUUUUUCUACUGUGACGGAGCUGUUCUAAGUUGUCAACCAACCAAUUUGGUGUGUUCCUACUCCUUAAAUCCUGUUGUUCUUCUUCACCAACUGGUUCUAUAUCUUUAGAAAUAAUGCUUUUUAUAUAGACACAUGCAUAUGUACAUACAUAUAUAUAUAUAUAUAUAUAUAUAUAUAAUAUAUAUAUAUAUAUAUAUAUAUAUAUAUAUAUAUAUAUAUAUAUAUAUAGUAUAUAAAUUUAUAUGUAAACACACACACACACACACAUAUAUAUAAAACAAGUAAAUGAAAUGGAAACAAAAUUUGACAACUGGUUAAAUAUAACAUACCCUCUUUAGCUGCUGCUGCUACUACUACUACUACUACUACUACUACUAAUAAUAAUAAUAAUAAUGAUAAUGAUGAUGAUAAUUUGUCACAAGAACGACAGAUAAGGAGAACUCAAUAAUUUUAAGUAAAAAAAAAAAAAAAACUAACAAUAUCAAAAUAGAAAAAAGAAAUUAAAAAUUAUUUAAAAAAUGGUUUUGUUCCUGUAAAAAAAUAAUUAAGAAAAUUACAGAAAUGUAAUCAGAAAAAAAAAGUAAUAAAAAAAAUUGGAAAUUGAGAGAAGCUGUUAACCAUUUUCCGAAGAAUCAAUUGAACAGAAAAUGGAAUUUAUUUUCUGUGUUAAACCAAAAACUCUUUUAGUGGAUUUUAUUCCAUUAUUGAUAAAGAAAAAAAAAACAUAACAUAAUUCAAAGAAUUUAUUCCAUUCUUUUAAACCAGAAUUCUCAAGAAUUACUGUUCCAUUCCCAAAUCCCAAAGUUGUUUCAAAAUAUUUAAUCCAUUUUUCAUCCAAGAGGUAGUCUGGAAGAUUCUGUCCAGCUUUGAUCCACCAUCCAGAAACUACUACAGAAGUUUUUUUUUUCCAUUUUGGAUCCAGUGGAAUAUUUCAAGGAACCAUUUCUACUUUUGGAUAUAUUUUAUUCAAGAAAUUAUUGAAAAAAUAUUUCAAUGGAUUUAUUGGUUUUUCUUGUAGCUUUGAUCUGAAAACAACGCAGCAAUGACUUGAUUCCAUCCUUUGUCCAGCAGAAACCAUGGAGCCAUUCCAUCUUUGAUCCAGAAAUAGUUUUAAAUGAAUCGAUCCAAUAUAUGUUAAUUACAAAUAAGAUUUUCUUCAUAUUCCAUGAAGAAAAUUACCAUCAGCAAAUCGAGGAAAGAUGUCACAAGGGAAAAUAGACACACACAAACACUAUCACACACACACACACACACACACAUGCAAAGAAAGCACCACACACACACUUUAUCUUUGAGACUAAAUUCUCUCCUAUUCUUGUCACAAAUAUUUUCCUGAAAGUUAAACAAUAUGCCACCUUU